GGCCGGAGGGCGGCCGGAUCGCGGCGGCGGCGGCCGGGAGUCCGCCCUCGGCGGCGGGAGGGGCUGCGGGCUCGGGGGACACGGGGGCACCCGGGGACAGCAGGAUGCCGAGCCCCCGGCACCACCCCGAGACCCUCGCGCUCCUUCUGGAAAGCAGAGCAGCACUGAUGGGAUGCCACGGACUGAGUGUGUGCAGAACCAGGGAUAACCUCGUUCAUUUUCCCAGGAUGUUCUGCUGCUCUGUGCCACCUCAGGGUGACAGAGAGCUGAGAGUUCCUGAGAAUUCCUCACUGCAGAGUUUUUCCAGGGGAAGCUUCAAGCCUGCACAAGCACUGUGGGAUCAGCCAGCCCCAUCCCUUGGA